AUUGAACGCUGGCGGCAUGCCUUACACAUGCAAGCCGAACGGCAGCAUGGAAGAGCUUGCUCUUCUGAUGGCGAGUGGCGAACGGGUGAGUAAAGCAUCGGAACGUACCGUGUAAUGGGGGAAACGUAGCGAAAGUUACGCUAAUACCGCAUACGACCUGAGGGUGAAAGCAGGGGAUCGCAAGACCUUGCGUUAUACGAGCGGCCGAUGUCAGAUUAGCUAGUUGGUGAGGUAAAGGCUCACCAAGGCGACGAUCUGUAGCGGGUCUGAGAGGAUGAUCCGCCACACUGGGACUGAGACACGGCCCAGACUCCUACGGGAGGCAGCAGUGGGGAAUUUUGGACAAUGGGGGCAACCCUGAUCCAGCCAUGCCGCGUGAGUGAAGAAGGCCUUCGGGUUGUAAAGCUCUUUCGGCCGGGAAGAAAUCGCACAGGCUAAUACUCUGUGUGGAUGACGGUACCGGCAUAAGAAGCACCGGCUAACUACGUGCCAGCAGCCGCAGUAA
rnacentral:rRNA from 1 species